GACGAACGCUGGCGGCGUGCCUAAUACAUGCAAGUCGAGCGCAGGAAGUCAUCCGAACCCUUCGGGGGGACGUUGACGGAAUGAGCGGCGGACGGGUGAGUAACACGUAAAGAACCUGCCCUCAGGUCUGGGAUAACCACGAGAAAUCGGGGCUAAUACCGGAUGGGUCAUCGGACCGCAUGGUCCGAGGAUGAAAGGCGCUUCGGCGUCGCCUGGGGAUGGCUUUGCGGUGCAUUAGCUAGUUGGUGGGGUAACGGCCCACCAAGGCGACGAUGCAUAGCCGACCUGAGAGGGUGAUCGGCCACACUGGGACUGAGACACGGCCCAGACUCCUACGGGAGGCAGCAGUAGGGAAUCUUCCACAAUGGACGAAAGUCUGAUGGAGCAACGCCGCGUGAACGAUGAAGGCCCUCGGGUCGUAAAGUUCUGUUGUAAGGGAAGAACAAGUGCCGCAGGCAAUGGCGGCA
rnacentral:rRNA from 1 species